GCAUCUUGGCAAAUGCUGCAUUUCGGUGUAGAGGAAAGUCCAUGCUCGCACGAUCUGUGAUGAUCGUAGUGUUUGUGUAUAGGGAAAAAAUAACCUAUAGUAGUGAAAGCUAACGGCUAUGAAAUUACCUAAGUCUUCGGAUAUGGUAAGACUAACUAUAAAAGUGCCAAAGUGACGAUUUUUUUGAGAAAUUAAAAAAGUGGAACGUGGUAAACCCCGCAAGCGAGAAACCCAAAAAUUGGUAGGGGAACUUCUGAUUGAGAAACGAAUCAAGAAGAAGAUGGUAACAUAGAUAAAUAUUUGCCCUCUAGAAAUAGAGACAGAACAUGGCUUAUAAGA
rnacentral:RNase_P_RNA from 1 species